UUUACUGUGUUCUGACUGCCAUGUGUCACUAUGCACUUGUUCGUGUCUUCACCUCUCCUCCUGCUGCAUUUUAGUCUCUGGACAUACACAACUGUUUUCCUUCUCACAGGUGUCAGCAAGUCCCUCCUCUGCACCUGCAGAAGCAGCAACAGAAAAGACACAAGUGGAAGAGGAAGUGAAAACCACGAAGAAAACCAGGAAGCCCAGGAAGAAUACCUGGUGGAAUGUCCUGAACCGUUGGGACAUUUUUAAUAUAUUUUAGAGACCUCUGAAGGUAAGUGAAGGAUGCCGUGAGAACAUCCUCCAGGAAACAGACACCCACUCCAUAGCAGUCCCUGAGCCUGCUGGCCUGAGCCCUCCACAGGCUGCUUAGUGAGGGAGACACUGAGGUGCUGGUCAGGCCAUCGUGUGCAGGAUUCCAUGGGCUGUGAACUGUUACUUGUCUGCAGUGACUCUUCAGCUCACCAGCAUCUCAUUUGAGGGGACCCAGCUCUGCCCCCCCAGCCCCUUGAGGCCCACUGGGAGCAUCACUAGUUCAUCCUGAGGAGACACUAGGGUUGACCAUGAAUCGCCCCCAGUUCAGGCCUCCUGGGAAAGGUGUGAGAAGGAUGGAGGUACCCCCAGGCUCCUUGUCACACGAGCAAGCAGCCCACCCGGCCCAGUAUUGCCCAGUAUUGAGGCCAGCAGGCACUCAGUAGGUCCUGGCAUCAAGCAGGGGACACGGCAGGAUCCAAGAAGCACUGAAAUGUGCCCAGUCCCAGGGGUUCUUCAGCCUCUGUGGGGGCCUGGGGACCUGGGGUGACCUCAUGGCCCCAUUUUUCAAGAUGAGGUUGGAGGCUUCUGUAUGUAGAGAGCACUGGCUUGGGUGUCAGUGGUUCUGUAUCUGUGCCAAAUGCCAACAAAACAAACCCCUGAAGACAUUUCAGGGCCAUGCUUACUUGGGAGGGGUUGAGGGCAUGAUUCAGGUAGCCUCUGUUUUUUAAAUCUAUUUUCCAAUCUUGAAAUCAGGUACACAUAUAAACGUGUGUUUGUGUGUAUCUAUACACUGUUUUUCACUCUUUCAAAUGUAUGUCUUCUGUAACCCUAUUAUUAUAGAAUAUACUAAAGUGAGAAAUUUGUUUUACCAAAGCGUAAUUUUAAAAAUUACAAUACAAAGACAGGUCUGGUGGGGAUGUUAGAAAGACCAGGUCUUACUAGGCAAUACCAAUGACGUGCUCCAGGCAGCUGUGCAUAUUCAAUGUGCAGCUCUUCU
rnacentral:lncRNA from 1 species